rnacentral:rRNA from 1 species
GACGAACGCUGGCGGCGUGCUUAACACAUGCAAGUCGAGCGGUAAGGCCCCUUCGGGGGUACACGAGCGGCGAACGGGUGAGUAACACGUGGGUGACCUGCCCUCAGCUCUGGGAUAAGCCUGGGAAACUGGGUCUAAUACCGGAUAUGACUCCAUGACGCAUGUCGUGGGGUGGAAAGCCUUGUGCGGCUGGGGAUGGGCCCGCGGCCUAUCAGCUUGUUGGUGGGGUGANGGCCUACCAAGGCGACGACGGGUAGCCGGCCUGAGAGGGCGACCGGCCACACUGGGACUGAGACACGGCCCAGACUCCUACGGGAGGCAGCAGUGGGGAAUCUUGCGCAAUGGGCGAAAGCCUGACGCAGCGACGCCGCGUGAGGGAUGACGGCC